AUUGAACGCUGGCGGCAUGCUUUACACAUGCAGGUCGAACGGUAACAGGCCGCAAGGUGCUGACGAGUGGCGAACGGGUGAGUAAUGCAUCGGAACGUGCCCAGUCGUGGGGGAUAACUACUCGAAAGAGUAGCUAAUACCGCAUACGAUCUAUGGAUGAAAGCGGGGGACCGUAAGGCCUCGCGCGAUUGGAGCGGCCGAUGUCAGAUUAGGUAGUUGGUGGGGUAAAGGCUCACCAAGCCAACGAUCUGUAGCUGGUCUGAGAGGACGACCAGCCACAAGAGGAAGAGACACAGGCAGAACCCUCAGGGGAAGGAGCCAUGGGGAAUUUUUGAAGAUGGGGAGCAACCUAAACAGACAAUGGCGGCGGGGAGAAAAAGGGCUUUCGUGUUUAAAACGGUUUUUUGACAAAACAAAACGUCUGUGUUUAAUCCCCGGGACUAAUGCAGGUACCGAAAAAAAGGGCCCCAACACCCUCCGAA
rnacentral:rRNA from 1 species